GGGGCCGUGGGCUAGUCUGGUCGUGGCUUCGCGGCUCGGGAACGCGAGAUCGUUGGUUCAAAGUCCCGUGAGCGCGCCUCCGGCAUGAGACUCCGACCGGCCCCA
rnacentral:tRNA from 1 species